rnacentral:misc_RNA from 1 species
GAUGAAGAACGUAGCGAAAUGCGAUACGUAAUGUGAAUUGCAGAAUUCAGUGAAUCAUCGAGUCUUUGAACGCACAUUGCGCCCCCUGGUAUUCCGGGGGGCAUGCCUGUCCGAGCGUCAUUGCUGCCCUCAAGCACGGCUUGUGUGUUGGGCCUCCGUCCUCCUCCCGGGGGACGGGCCCGAAAGGCAGCGGCGGCACCGCGUCCGGUCCUCGAGCGUAUGGGGCUUCGUCACCCGCUCUUGUAGGCCCGGCCGGCGCUUGCCGACACAUCAAUCUUUUUUCCAGGUUGACCUCGGAUCAGGUAGGGAUACCCGCUGAACUUAAGCAUAUCAAUAAGCUGAGGA